UUAUGUGUACGUUGACAGUAAAUGAAUUCUCAACCAGAGUUCUAUCUGAACGUCAAGUUUAUUUUUGAAGAAAAAAGAGCUAUCGAUUUCUCAAAGUGAAGCGCACAAUGUGUACAGAAAGAAAAAACGUAUUGCAGACAGGAUUGAUCUAAUGUCAUCGGAGAAGAGCCUCAAUCCGAUGGUUUUGCUAUAUCUUGAUGGACAUGGAACGGUUAAAGCUGCUGGAACGCCCGGCCUUCGUCGAGAAAUCUUGAAUAUUUC